rnacentral:rRNA from 1 species
AACGAACGCUGGCGGCAGGCUUAACACAUGCAAGUCGAACGCAUCCUUCGGGGUGAGUGGCAGACGGGUGAGUAACGCGUGGGAACGUGCCCUUCAGUUCGGGAUAACCCAGGGAAACUUGGGCUAAUACCGGAUACGUGCGAGAGCAGAAAGAUUUAUCGCUGAAGGAUCGGCCCGCGUCUGAUUAGCUAGUUGGUGGGGUAAUGGCCCACCAAGGCGACGAUCAGUAGCUGGUCUGAGAGGAUGAUCAGCCACAUUGGGACUGAGACACGGCCCAAACUCCUACGGGAGGCAGCAGUGGGGAAUAUUGGACAAUGGGCGAAAGCCUGAUCCAGCCAUGCCGCGUGAGUGAUGAAGGCCUUAGGGUUGUAAAGCUCUUUCAGUAGGGAAGAUAAUGACGGUACCUACAGAAGAAGCCCCGGCUAACUUCGUGCCAGCCGCCGCCGUAA